CCUACGGGGCGCAGCAGUGAGGAAUAUUGGUCAAUGGACGAGAGUCUGAACCAGCCAAGUAGCGUGAAGGAUGACUGCCCUAUGGGUUGUAAACUUCUUCUAUAUGGGAAUAAAACGUUCCACGUGUGGGAUUUUGUAUGUACCAUAUGAAUAAGGAUCGGCUAACUCCGUGCCAGCAGCCGCGGUAAUACGGAGGAUCCGAGCGUUAUCCGGAUUUAUUGGGUUUAAAGGGAGCGUAGGUGGAUUGUUAAGUCAGUUGUGAAAGUUUGCGGCUCAACCGUAAAAUUGCAGUUGAAACUGGCAGUCUUGAGUACAGUAGAGGUGGGCGGAAUUCGUGGUGUAGCGGUGAAAUGCUUAGAUAUCACGAAGAACUCCGAUUGCGAAGGCAGUUCACUGGACUGCAACUGACACUGAGGCUCGAAAGUGUGGGUAUCAAACAGGAUUAGAUACCCUUGUAGUC
rnacentral:rRNA from 1 species